rnacentral:rRNA from 1 species
GUCAAGCUACAAAGGGCUCACGGCGGAUACCUUGGCACACAGAGGCGAUGAAGGACGUGGUUACCUGCGAUAAGUCUCGGGGAGCUGGAAACACGCUUUGAUCCGGGAAUUUCCGAAUGGGGCAACCCCUAGAACGGCCAGCUGAAUCUAUAGGCUGGCGCGAGCCAACCCAGCGAACUGAAACAUCUUAGUAGCUGGAGGAAAGGAAAGUAAAAACGACUCCCUAAGUAGCGGCGAGCGAACGGGGAAGAGCCUAAACCAAUGGUUUCGACCAUUGGGGUUGUGGGACAGCAAUGUGGAUCAGGAAUGUUAGUGGAAGUGUUUGAAAGACACGCCACAGAGGGUGAAAGCCCCGUACACGAAAACUGAACUGACCUAGCUGUAUCCCGAGUAGCACGGAGCACGUGGAAUUCCGUGUGAAUCAGCGAGGACCACCUCGUAAGGCUAAGUACUCCUGUGUGACCGAUAGCGAAACAGUACCGCGAGGGAAAGGUGAAAAGAACCCCGGGAGGGGAGUGAAAUAGAACAUGAAACCGUGAGCCUACAAGCAAUGGGAGCCCUACUAAUAGGGUGACCGUGUGCCUGUUGAAGAAUGAGCCGGCGACUUAUAGGCACUGGCGGGUUAAACCGGAAAUGGUGGAGCCAUAGCGAAAGCGAGUCUGAAUAGGGCGUUUGUCAGUGUUUAUAGACCCGAACCCGGGUGAUCUAACCAUGGCCAGGAUGAAGCUUGGGUGAUACCAAGUGGAGGUCCGAACCGACUGAUGUUGAAAAAUCAGCGGAUGAGCUGUGGUUAGGGGUGAAAUGCCAAUCGAACCCGGAGCUAGCUGGUUCUCCCCGAAAUACGUUGAGGCGUAGCGUCUCGUGCUCCAGCAGGGGGGUAAAGCCACCAUUUCGGUGCGGGCUGCGAGAGCGGUACCAAAUCGAGAUGAACUCUGAAUACCCUGUGUGUAGCGAGGCAGUCAGACUGUGGGGGAUAAGCUCCAUGGUCGAGAGGGAAACAGCCCAGACCGCCAGCUAAGGUCCCCAAAUCAACACUAAGUGAUAAAGGAGGUGGGAUUGCCCAGACAACCAGGAGGUUUGCCUAGAAGCAGCCAUCCUCAAAGGAGUGCGUAAUAGCUCACUGGUCGAGCGAUCCUGCGCCGAAAAUGAAUGGGGCUAAGUGUUGUACCGAAGCUGCGGAUUUAUGGUAGGGGAGCGUUCUAUGUGGGGCGAAGCGUUAGCGUGAGCGGGCGUGGACUGCAUAGAAGUGAGAAUGUCGGCUUGAGUAGCGAAAACAUGGGUGAGAAUCCCAUGCACCGAAACCCUAAGGGUUCCUCCGGCAGGCUCGUCCGCGGAGGGUUAGUCUGGACCUAAGGCGAGGCCGAAAGGCGUAGUCGAUGGACAGCAGAUUAAUAUUUCUGCCCCGCUUUUGUGGAGUGAUGGGGUGACGCAUUAGGAUAGGCCAACCGGAGCUAUGGCUAUGCCCGGCGGGUAACGAAGCUUUUCAGGAUAGGAAAAUCCGCCUGAUACUAGAGUGACGUUAUUCGGGAAGGCCCCAAGGGGCUGAUAACUGGUUGAAUCCACGGUGCCAAGAAAAACCUCUAAACGUUGAAGCAAGAGCGCCCGUACCGAUAACCGACACAGGUGGGCGAGUGUAAAAGCACUAAGGCGCGCGAGAAAACUCUCUCUAAGGAACUCUGCAAAAUGGCCCCGUAACUUCGGGAGAAGGGGUCCCGUGUGUACCGUGAGGCAACUUGCGGGAGACGGGCACAGUAAAUCGGCUCUAGCGACUGUUUACCACAAUCACAGCACUCUGCAAACCCGCGUAGGGGACGUAUAGGGUGUGACACCUGCCCGGUGCCGG